rnacentral:rRNA from 1 species
AGGGCACCACCAGGAGUGGAGCCUGCGGCUUAWUUUGACUCAACACGGGAAAACUCACCCGGCCCGGACACUGGAAGGAUUGACAGAUUGAGAGCUCUUUCUUGAUUCAGUGGGUGGUGGUGCRUGGCCGUUCUUAGUUGGUGGAGUGAUUUGUCUGGUUAAUUCCGAUAACGAACGAGACUCUAGCCUACUAAAUAGAUCGUCGGCUUACAAACGCCGGCGAGACUUCUUAGAGGGACAGGCGGUGAUUCAACCGCACGAAACAGAGCAAUAACAGGUCUGUGAUGCCCUUAGAUGUCCGGGGCCGCACGCGCGCUACACUGAAGUGAUCAGCGUGCUUUUUCAACCUACUCUGUCAAGAGUGGGGAACCCAAUGAACCUUCUUCGUGAUUGGGAUAGGGGAUUGUAAUUGUUCCCCUUGAACGAGGAAUUCCCAGUAAGCGCGAGUCAUAAGCUCGCGUUGAUUACGUCCCUGCCCUUUGUACACACCGCCCGUCGCUACUACCGAUUGAAUGUUUU